rnacentral:rRNA from 1 species
GAUGAACGCUAGCGGCAGGCCUAAUACAUGCAAGUCGAGGGGCAGCACGGUAGCAAUACUGGUGGCGACCGGCGCACGGGUGCGUAACACGUAUGCAACCUGCCUUCAACUGGGAGAUAGCCCGGGGAAACUCGGAUUAAUACCCCAUAACACACUUGGUCAGCAUUGAUUGAUUGUUAAAGCUCCGGCGGUUGAAGAUG